rnacentral:rRNA from 1 species
GAGGGUGCGAGCGUUAAGUCGGAAUUACGUGGGCGUAAAGCGCACGUAGUCGGCUUUGCAAGUCGGGUGUGAAAUCCCCGGGCUCAACCUGGGAACUGCAUCCGAGACUGCAUUGCUAGAGUAUGGGAGAGGGAAGCGGAAUUUCUGGUGUAGCAGUGAAAUGCGUAGAUAUCAGAAGGAACAUCAGUGGCGAAGGCGGCUUCCUGGACCAAUACUGACGAUCAGGUGCGAAAGCGUGGGGAGCAAACAGGAUUAGAUACCCUGGUAGUCCACGCCCUAAACGAUGAGAACUGGAUGUCGGGAGGGUUUGCCUUCCGGUGUCGUAGCUAACGCGUUAAGUUCUCCGCCUGGGAAGUACGGCCGCAAGGUUG